rnacentral:rRNA from 1 species
AACGAACGCUGGCGGUAGGCCUUACACAUGCAAGUCGAACGAGAAAUAUACUUCGGUAUAGAGUAAAGUGGCGGACGGGUGAGUAACGCGUAGGUAGAUAGCCAGUAGUACGGAACAACCAUUGGAAACGAUGGCUAAUACCGUAUACGCCCUUCGGGGGAAAGAUUUAUUGCUAUUGGAUUCGCCUGCGUUAGAUUAGCUAGUUGGUGGGGUAAAAGCCUACCAAGGCGACGAUCUAUAGCUGGUUUGAGAGGAUGAUCAGCCACAUCGGAACUGAGACACGGUCCGAACUCCUACGGGAGGCAGCAGUGGGGAAUAUUGCACAAUGGGGGAAACCCUGAUGCAGCCAUACCGCGUGAGUGAUGAAGGCCCUUGGGUUGUAAAGCUCUUUCACUAAUGAGGAUGAUGACGUUAAUUAGAGAAGAAGUCCCGGNUAACUUCGUGCCAGCAGCCGCCGCAGUAAU